rnacentral:rRNA from 1 species
UACGGAGUGUGCAAGCGUUGUUCGGAAUCAUUGGGCGUAAAGCGCGUGUAGGCGGUCCUGUAAGUCAGGUGUGAAAGCCCCCGGCUCAACCGGGGAAGUGCACUUGAAACUGCAGGACUUGAGUUCGGUAGGGGGGAGCGGAAUUCCCAGUGUAGAGGUGAAAUUCGUAGAUAUUGGGAGGAACACCAGUGGCGAAGGCGGCUCCCUGGACCGAAACUGACGCUGAGACGCGAAAGCGUGGGUAGCAAACAGG